rnacentral:rRNA from 1 species
GAUGAACGCUGGCGGCGUGCCUAAUACAUGCAAGUCGAGCGAACAGACGAGGAGCUUGCUCCUCUGACGUUAGCGGCGGACGGGUGAGUAACACGUGGAUAACCUACCUAUAAGACUGGGAUAACUUCGGGAAACCGGAGCUAAUACCGGAUAAUAUAUUGAACCGCAUGGUUCAAUAUUGAAAGACGGAUUUGCUGUCACUUAUAGAUGUAUCCGCGCCGCAUUAGCUAGUUGGUAAGGUAACGGCUUACCAAGGCAACGAUGCGUAGCCGACCUGAGAGGGUGAUCGGCAACACUGGAACUGAGACACGGUCCAGACUCCUACGGGAGGCAGCAGUAGGGAAUCUUCCGCAAUGGGCGAAGGCCUGACGGAGCAACGCCGCGUGAGUGAUGAAGGUCUUCGGAUCGUAAAACUCUGUUAUUAGGGAAGAACAAAUGUGUAAGCAACUAUGCACGUCUUGACGGUACCUAAUCAGAAAGCCACGGCUAACUACGUG